GAGUUUGAUCCUGGCUCAGAUUGAACGCUGGCGGCAGGCCUAACACAUGCAAGUCGAACGGUAGCAGGAAGAAGCUUGCUUCUUUGCUGACGAGUGGCGGACGGGUGAGUAAUGUCUGGGAAACUGCCUGAUGGAGGGGGAUAACUACUGGAAACGGUAGCUAAUACCGCAUAACGUCGCAAGACCAAAGAGGGGGACCUUCGGGCCUCUUGCCAUCGGAUGUGCCCAGAUGGGAUUAGCUAGUAGGUGGGGUAACGGCUCACCUAGGCGACGAUCCCUAGCUGGUCUGAGAGGAUGACCAGCCACACUGGAACUGAGACACGGUCCAGACUCCUACGGGAGGCAGCAGUGGGGAAUAUUGCACAAUGGGCGCAAGCCUGAUGCAGCCAUGCCGCGUGUAUGAAGAAGGCCUUCGGGUUGUAAAGUACUUUCAGCGGGGAGGAAGGGAGUAAAGUUAAUACCUUUGCUCAUUGACGUUACCCGCAGAAGAAGCACCGGC
rnacentral:rRNA from 1 species